GACGAACGCUGGCGGCGUGCUUAACACAUGCAAGUCGAACGGAAAGGCCCUGCUUUUGUGGGGUGCUCGAGUGGCGAACGGGUGAGUAACACGUGAGUAACCUGCCCUUGACUUUGGGAUAACUUCAGGAAACUGGGGCUAAUACCGGAUAGGAGCUCCUGCUGCAUGGUGGGGGUUGGAAAGUUUCGGCGGUUGGGGAUGGACUCGCGGCUUAUCAGCUUGUUGGUGGGGUAGUGGCUUACCAAGGCUUUGACGGGUAGCCGGCCUGAGAGGGUGACCGGCCACAUUGGGACUGAGAUACGGCCCAGACUACUACGGGAGGCAGCAGUGGGGAAUAUUGCACAAUGGGCGGGAGCCUGAUGCAGCAACGCCGCGUGCGGGAUGACGGCCUUCGGGUUGUAAACCGCUUUCGCCUGUGACGAAGCGUGAGUGACGGUAAUGGGUAAAGAAGCACCGGCUAACUACGUG
rnacentral:rRNA from 1 species